rnacentral:rRNA from 1 species
AUACGGAGGGGGCUAGCGUUGGUCGGAAUUACUGGGCGUAAAGCGCACGUAGGCGGCACGCAUAGUCAGAGGUGAAAGGCCUGUGCUCAACCUGGGAACUGCCUUUGAUACUGGCGAGCUUGAGUCCGGGAGAGGGUAGCGGAAUUCCCAGUGUAGAGGUGAAAUUCGUAGAUAUUGGGAAGAACACCGGUUGAGAAGGCGGCUACCUGGCCCGGUACUGACGCUGAGGUGCGAAAGCGUGGGGAGCAAACAGGAUUAGAUACCCGGGUAGUCC